CUACGGGCGGCUCCAGUGGGGAAUAUUGCACAAUGGGCGAAAGCCUGAUGCAGCAACGCCGCGUGAGGGACGACGGCCUUCGGGUUGUAAACCUCUUUUAGCAGGGAAGAAGCGAAAGUGACGGUACCUGCAGAAAAAGCACCGGCUAACUACGUGCCAGCAGCCGCGGUAAUACGUAGGGUGCAAGCGUUGUCCGGAAGUAUUGGGCGUAAAGAGCUCGUAGGCGGUUUGUCGCGUCUGCUGUGAAAAUCCGAGGCUCAACCUCGGACCUGCAGUGGGUACGGGCAAACUAGAGUGCGGUAGGGGAGAUUGGAAUUCCUGGUGUAGCGGUGGAAUGCACAGAUAUCAGGAGGAACACCAAUGGCGAAGGCAGAUCUCUGGGCCGUAACUGACGCUGAGGAGCGAAAGCGUGGGGAGCGAACAGGAUUAGAUACCCGGGUAGUC
rnacentral:rRNA from 1 species